rnacentral:rRNA from 1 species
UACGAGGUGCCCCGAGCGUUAUCCGGAAUUAUUGGGCGUAAAGCGUGUGUAGGUGGUCAUGUUAGUCUCCUGCGAAAUUCUUCGGCUUAACCGGGGCGUGAUGGGAGAAACGGCAUGACUUUGAGGGUGCGAGGGGUCUGUAGAACUCUAGGUGUAGGGGUGAAAUCCGUUGAUAUCUAGGGGAAUACCAAAAGCGAAGGCAGCAGACUGGCGCAUUCCUGACACUGAGACACUAAAGCGUGGGUAGCGAAUGGG